rnacentral:rRNA from 1 species
UACGGAGGGGGCUAGCGUUUUUCGGAAUUACUGGGCGUAAAGCGCACGUAGGCGGCUUGGUAAGUUAGAGGUGAAAGCCUGGAGCUCAACUCCAGAAUUGCCUUUAAGACUGCCGAGCUAGCAGGUGAGAGAGGUGAGUGGAAUUCCGAGUGUAGAGGUGAAAUUCGUAGAUAUUCGGAAGAACACCAGUGGCGAAGGCGGCUCACUGGCUCAUACUGGACGCUGAGGUGCGAAAGCGUGGGGAGCAAACAGG